rnacentral:rRNA from 1 species
GACGAACGCUGGCGGCGUGCUUAACACAUGCAAGUCGAGCGGAAAGGCCCUUCGGGGUACUCGAGCGGCGAACGGGUGAGUAACACGUGAGUAACCUGCCCCAGACUUUGGGAUAACCCUCGGAAACGGGGGCUAAUACCGGAUACGACACAGCUUCGCAUGGGGUUUGUGUGGAAAGUUGUUCGGUUUGGGAUGGGCUCGCGGCCUAUCAGCGUGUUGGUGGGGUGAUGGCCUACCAAGGCGACGACGGGGAGCCGGCCUGAGAGGGCGACCGGCCACACUGGGACUGAGACACGGCCCAGACUCCUACGGGAGGCAGCAGUGGGGAAUAUUGCACAAUGGGCGGAAGCCUGAUGCAGCGACGCCGCGUGAGGGAUGACGGCCUUCGGGUUGUAAACCUCUUUCAGCAGGGACGAAGCGUAAGUGACGGUACCUGCAGAAGAAGCGCCGGCCAACUACGUG